rnacentral:tRNA from 1 species
UCCCUGGUGGCUCAGACGGUAAAGCAUCUGCCCGCAAUGCGGGAGACCUGGGUUCGAUUCCUGGGUCGGGAA